rnacentral:rRNA from 1 species
CAGCAGCCGCGGGAAAACGUAGGGUGCGAGCGUUAAUCGGAAUUACUGGGCGUAAAGCGUGCGCAGGCGGUUCGUUAAGACAGAUGUGAAAUCCCCGGGCUCAACCUGGGAACUGCAUUUGUGACUGGCGAGCUAGAGUAUGGCAGAGGGGGGUAGAAUUCCACGUGUAGCAGUGAAAUGCGUAGAGAUCGGAAAGAACACCAACGGCGAAAGCACUCUGCUGGGCCGACACUGACACUGAGAGACGAAAGCUAGGGGAGCAAAUGGGAUUAGAUACCCCAGUAGUCCCUGUCUCUUAUAC